rnacentral:rRNA from 1 species
UACCGGCAGCUCGAGUGAUGGCCGUUCUUAUUGGGCCUAAAGCGUCCGUAGCCGGCCACGCAAGUUCGUCGGGAAAUCCACGCGCUCAACGCGUGGGCGUCCGGCGAAACCUGCGUGGCUUGGGACCAGACGACCCAGAGGGUACGGCCGGGGUAGGAGUGAAAUCCCGUAAUCCCGGCCGGACCACCGGUGGCGAAAGCGCUCUGGGAGGAUGGAUCCGACGGUGAGGGACGAAAGCCAGGGUCACGAACCGG